AUUGAACGCUGGCGGAAUGCUUUACACAUGCAAGUCGAACGGCAGCACGGGUGCUUGCACCUGGUGGCGAGUGGCGAACGGGUGAGUAACAUAUCGGACGUGCCCAGUAAUGGGGGAUAACUGACCGAAAGGUUGGCUAAUACCGCAUACGCCCUGGAGGGGGGAAAGGCGGGGGAUCGAAAGACCUCGCGUUAUUGGAG
rnacentral:rRNA from 1 species